CAGCCGCCGCGGUAAUACAGAGGGUGCAAGCGUUAAUCGGAAUUACUGGGCGUAAAGCGCGCGUAGGUGGUUUGUUAAGUUGGAUGUGAAAGCCCCGGGCUCAACCUGGGAACUGCAUCCAAAACUGGCAAGCUAGAGUACGGUAGAGGGUGGUGGAAUUUCCUGUGUAGCGGUGAAAUGCGUAGAUAUAGGAAGGAACACCAGUGGCGAAGGCGACCACCUGGACUGAUACUGACACUGAGGUGCGAAAGCGUGGGGAGCAAACAGGAUUAGAUACCCCUGUAGUCCCUGUCUCUUAUAC
rnacentral:rRNA from 1 species